rnacentral:misc_RNA from 1 species
AACUUUUGACAACGGAUCUCUUGGCUCUCGCAUCGAUGAAGAACGCAGCGAAAUGCGAUAAGGAAUGUGAAUUGCAGAAUUCAGUCAAUCAUCGAAUCUUUGAACGCACCUUGCGCCCUUUGGCUAUUCUGAAGGGCAUGCCUGUUUGAGCAUCAUAAACAUCUCAACUCUCACGGUUUCCUGUGAUGUGUUUGGACUUUGGGGGUCUUGUUGGCUUGUGGUCAGCUCCCCUCAACUCUAUCAGCUUCCCAGUGUCUGGCAGCAUCACAGGUGUGAUAAAUAUCUACGCUUGUGGUUCUUUGCCAGGUCUGUCCUCUCCUUGCAGAGGGCUCGCUGGAGCUCAUAGAUGUCUCUCCUUGGUGGAGACAGCUGUUUGAAGUUUGGUCUCAAAUCAGGUAGGAUUACCCGCUGAACUUAAGCAUAUCAAUAAGCGGAGGCU